GUGCCCGUCCACCGAACGGUCGGCAGGCGAUCCGCGUCGGUCGCGCGAGGUGGUAUGGUUCCCCAGAGGCCGGUUCUUGUGCUGCCUACCCCUUCAGGGGAAGAGUUCCAGACUUGAUGUAAGCCUCCAUCCGGCGCCCUCCAAAGGGCGCGGGAGGACAGCGGAGCACCCCCCGCGUUCCACCGAGCCUCCUCGGUCGCGUGGCCCGCGGGGACGUGCGAUGCUCUCGGACCCAGCGAACGCCGUGGGCGAGGACUCACGUCCCGGUCCCAAGAUAAGCUCCKAUAUAACGCAUGACGUCCGCUCCCGACCCCCGACCGCCCCGGCGGCNCGGGGGCGAGGCGCGGCGUCGCGGAGGAAUGCU
rnacentral:misc_RNA from 1 species